CCAGGCUGUAUUGUAAUAAUCACAGUGGAAACAAUGAAAGGGAUGAAGAAGAUGAAGAAAGAGAAAACAGAAGCAGAGAGAGGGAGCGCAUGGAUGGUGAUGCCAGACCGCCGCAAGUCAAUGGAAACUAGCCUAGAUUGAAUUACAAAGGAGAAAGGUGUGAAGAAAAAAAUGGAGUAGACAAGACAAAAGUAUAUUUGCUUUUUGUUCCCAGCAAAAGAAAAGGCAGAGAACUUGCUCUUACAUUGUCUGAUGUCCAAUUUGGUCUUUGAGAAGUUACCCAGAGAUGCUCGUUGCAUUGGCUUUUUUUGUGAGCCUUUAUAAUGUACUUUUACAGACUGCAAGAUUGUGUAAUUUGCAGUUUCUUUUUUUCUAGUAUGUUUCAAUCUGGUAUCAAUUUUUCACAUUUGUAAUCAUAUUCAUUUAGCCAAGAAAACUGUUUAAGACAGAAACAUAUUACUUUUAUGGGUAUAUUACCUGUAUACUGUGUAAUUACUCCACUCUGUAAUCUGUCUGUGGACUUUCUAAACAAGGAGGAAGGACCCAGAGAUUUCCCCAUAUUACGUAGUUGGUGUGCCAAUAAUAAUUUAAGUGGACUUUUUUCUAUUUCUGUUGUGUAUCUGUAAUUUUGUUCUGUUAGUGUUUCUUGCUGUUAAGAGCAUCUGGCAGGAUGGUGUAGCACUUACCACAAGGACCUUGAAAGUAGAGACAGUCUAAGUUCUAGUGUUACAAAAACCCUAGGUAUUGUCUAAAAAAGUUAUGCUUUAACCUACAGCAUAUUUCUUGAUUAAAGUUGCUUAGUAUCCUUUUUAGAGUUAUGGUGGUAACAGGUUUUCAGUUAUUGUAAAUAUCCAAAGCCUAUCUGUAAUGAAUGCCUGUUUGCAUGCUGCACCACCACUGCAAAGUUUAUAUCAAAAGACACCGGGUCUCCAUUUCGAGUUUAUUUUUGUUUAUCUUUUAAAACAUUGCCAGCUGUGCAUCCAGCUGGAAAGCCUGCUUCAGAGGCUGAUAAACUCUAUAAUUAAGGACAGUUCACAAAUUGUAAACAAUAUUUAGCAUUGUUAUGCUCUUAAAUGAGGUACUGUUGCAUCAUUUUUAUAAUUCUGAAUUAACUCAAUCAAAUUUGUAUGUUUGUACCUUAAUGUGUUUCUUACACAUUUAUCUGAGAAGUAUGCUGUCUCACUAAGGGACUAGUCAUUGCUAGAUUCAGAAUAGCAUUUCAGAAUAUAUGCUGUUACUACCUUUUGUGUUGUUAAAAGAUUGUGUUUUUUAAUAAAGGAAAGGGACUUGUAUUUUUGUCCCCUUACCUCUCUUAAA